UGGCAUGCCAUGUGUAGCCACAUUGUAAGGGAGUCCUUGUGCACAUGGUCAAUCUCGCAGAAAGCCCACUGCAAUCCAAAUCUUCUUCACGAUUGUUCCUAUUCACCAAAUCACCCGUCUUCUCGAAUGACCGCCCACCAUUUCCCUCUGUUGCUGUUGCUAACAUCCAUGGCCCAGGGACCCACUUGCAGCGUGGCUACAUGUGGCAUGCCAC
rnacentral:pre_miRNA from 1 species